CACACAAACAAUUCAAACCAA
rnacentral:piRNA from 1 species